UCCAGAUCCAUGAUGGAAAAUGGCUGCAGUGAGCGUAUACUAAAUGAGAUUUUAGGAACUUUAAAUGACAUUACUGAAUUUUGCAUCAUACAAUAUUUUACUCAUCAUUUUGCAUUUGGAUCCUGUAGACUAAAUUGUGAGAAGCUGAAAGGAAGUACAUCAAAGAUUAUUUUUAAGACCCUCAAAGCAGUAAUAGGAGUUCAAUAAACUUCAGGCUAGCAAAAUGCAGUUUCACUUGACAGUUGUAUUAUGAGGAUGGAUGAUACCAUUAGUUGUGUUUUUCCUUUCACACCUGCUUUCACUUUCAUGCCAGAAGCUGACCCACAGUGCAGCAUGAAACAACAAUCAUUCUUACUUCAAGAUGAGAUCCAGAACUUCAGAAUGAGAUCCAGCUUGAGGCUUCUCAACAAAAGCUAUGAAGACAUAGCAAGAUGUUUGUCUUCUAGAUUCUCCAGUGCUAGCUACCCCUACCCAUCACUGAGUCAAUCCUGUGUUCAUUGUAUUUCCAUGCAAAGGAAAGAAGAAAAAUGUCUGCUGAAAGCUGUGUCAUAUGUUGGAAGUUUUUAGAAAGGUUAAAGAACAAAAGACAAAAUUUGUGUGGGGCCUAGCCUUGGAGAAAAGAAUAACUAUGCAAACUAUGCCAAAGGUAAAAGAAUAACCCUUCUGUAAAACUUCUGUAGGGUUAUAGCUCAUAAGUGAGCAGCGUAGGGUUAGAUGAAUGGUGUAGACAAGAGAGUCCAAC
rnacentral:lncRNA from 1 species